AAAAUAUUUAAGAUCCCUAGCUCCAGUUAUACAGUGCUGGUGGGUAAUGUGCACAGACACCUUAAUAAUGUGUGUCUUUCAGUCCAUACAAAAACUGCAUUGGGAAUUAUACAUUUUGCAGCAAAGCACCAGAUAUAAUAUGAACAAAGUGUACCCAUACUUUGAUUUCAUCCAUUCAGCUCAACAAUAAGCACACCCAACCAGACUAACAUCUUGAUGUGAGAAAUGAAUAUACAUCACAAUUACAAGAAU